GACAGAGGGUGCAAACGUUGUUCGGAAUUACUGGGCAUAAAGAGCACGUAGGUGGUGCGCUAAGUCACGUGUGAAAUCCCCCGGCUCAACCGGGGAAUGGCGCGUGAUACUGGCGGACUCGAGGCGGGUAGGGGUGAGCGGAACUCCAGGUGGAGCGGUGAAAUGCAUUGAGAUCGGAAAGAACACCAACGGCGAAAGCACUCUGCUGGGCCGACACUGACACUGAGAGACGAAAGCUAGGGGAGCAAAUGGG
rnacentral:rRNA from 1 species